CUUGUAUUUACACAUUCACACACAAUCACUCUUUCUAACUUCUUGACUCUUUGCGCAACUGCUAGGAUUUCUCAAGUGCAUGUGGCAACUCAGCCCGGGUGAGGGAAAGCCGGUGGGACUCGGGAGGGAAUCACGGGGCUGCGGGGCCACCAAGGCUGCGGAGGGGGACUACAGCAAGAGGCUGCGGAGGGGACUAGAGCGAGACAGCGGCGGCUGGGGAGUCCCCCCAACUUUCCACGCAGCUGUGGCUCUGCGGCGGUCCCGGGCUUCCUCUGAGAGCAGCACGCAGGCCCGGCGAAUGGGCUUCCGCGCUCACCCUGGAAGUAAAGGGCACCCUGCCCGCCCGAACUCAUCUUUAGGCCAGUCCUAGGAGCCUGGACAUCGGCGCAGCCGCCAGCCAUCCCUUGUAGGUCCCGCAUCCCUGGCAGGGGAAAUCCAUCAGCUUGAGAAUGGAGGAAAAUUGUGACUCCACAGAGAAUCCCCACAGCCAAGGGCGGCAGAAUGCCACCAAGUGUGGGUGGCUGAGGAAGCAAGGAGGCUUUGUCAAGACUUGGCAUACACGCUGGUUUGUGCUCAAGGGGGACCAGCUUCAUUAUUUCAAAGACGAAGAUGAAACCAAGCCCUUGGUAAGUAGGAGAAAAAAGUCCUUAGGGAUCCCUACAGUUGAAGGGGACUGAGGGGGUCUCCGUCUCCCCACGGUAUCUCUUCACAGGCGUCUUGUCUCCUUCUCCUCCAUGGUUUGCUUACAUUUGGACAUGACGAACUAGCUAAUUGAGACUCCGGGGCAAAUUACAGUGGUCUAAUGUGAAUUUUGAAGGGACAGAAUGUCUGAAUCCCUCAGGCAAACUUACUUCAUGAGAAAAUAUUAUUAUCUAUUAUUUGGGGACAGAGCUCAUAGCCAAGGCAGCUCUUCUUUUCCCCCUUGGGAAUAAGUUGAAAAUCUAUAUUUUAAGGGACACUGCAUACAUAGCCACACUCCUCGGGGGAUAGUUUCUAUGUUCUCUGUGGUUCCUUAGUGGUCAUUUAUUUCCUUGUGUUCUUGGUCACAAGUUUCAAGACUGUAACUAGAAAGAAAGAAAGAAAGAAAGAAA